ACAGGAAAUUGACUUAGGCACAGGAACUUGCUAAUCUCUUUUGUCACAUUCGGAUUGCUCCUGCUGCCUCACACACACUAACCUAACCAUCUUGGGGUGGACUCCCUGCCAGCCCAACUGUUGUAUUUUCAGUUCUUCCAGUGUGAAUCAGUUAAUAUUCUCGGGAACGAGGGAGAGGUUGAUCCUAUGAGGAAAUCAACCACAGUGAAAAGGCUUGGGCCGCUUUUGUUUUCACCUCCUUUUGUUGAACAAAUUUGAUUUCCGGAGUCAGUCAUUUUACUGUCAAGACAUUUCUUCGGCAUUCUGCAACAGGGAUAUUUGCAUUUCAACAAAGUACCAAACCUCAAGAGAAAGGGCUGCUCCAAGGAUGGAAGAUAUAUUUGGUAGGGAGAGGACUUUUUAUCACCCUUGAUUCACUCCAUGUGUGGAAUGCUUUGUACAAGGUCCAAAACUUCUAUCGUUGGUAUGAACAUUUGGGAGGCAAGUGAGUGAUAAUGACCCACGGCUGCCUUUUUGUCCGGCAAAGCAUGGGGAUGCUUUGGAGAACGGAAGGAUUUUAU
rnacentral:sRNA from 1 species